rnacentral:lncRNA from 1 species
GGAUGGUGAAAGUUUUGGAGAUUAAUAAGAAUGAUGAAUAUGCAAAAACAAAAUUGUAGUUAAUGUUACCAAGCUGUGCACCUAAAAUUGGUUAAAAUGGUACAUUUGGUGACAUACAUCUUAAUGCAAUAAGCAUCAAUAAAGCUAGAGAAUUCUGAUAUGUGCAACUUUUGGCAACUUUGUAUCCUGUAGUUGGAAUAUUCUUAAAAUUACAAUUUUUAAAUUAUGAGUUUCCUUGUCUUCCUUCAACCUAUCUAUAUUUCUAUCCUAUCUUAUUUCACCCUUCCCAGUCUUUGAGCUCUCCUUCCUAAGGGAUGUGAUUGGGCUGAAGUUGCAUCUUCUUAUAACUGCUUCAGGCUGAGUAGGAUGGUGGGGGGCCACUGCCCUUGCCAAGUUAGGAAACAAAAGCCUGACUCCUACUUAUCUAAAGGAGACAAAGAAUGAUGGGUUUUCUUGUUUGAUCAAUCAUCAUCCUUUAUUACCCUAGAAAAGAAUCAAAUUAGUGAGUCAAUGAGUUUUCAAUCUCAUUUUUUAACCAAGUUAAAUAAGCAAGUAUCAAAAACUAAAAGUAGAAUAUUGGUGAACAGUGCUUCAAAAUCUCUGUUGAAUUCAGACAAAAAUCAGGCAGCAUUUUAUUUCUACAUUGUUUAAGAUGGAGUCAUAGUAUAUAUAGUUUUCUCUGUUUGUUUAAUAAGAGACCCAAUUUCCCCUUAUCUUAAUGGCAAAAAUACAGCAAGUAAAUAUAUGUAUAUUUCUAUCUGAGCAUUGGACCAUCAAAAAUUUUAGUGCCAGACUGAGAACAUGUGAUCUGUUGUCCAUUUUGUAUCCCUGAGGACAUUUUUUAAUGAUUGGCUUCUGAUAAUAUAAACAUAGUCUGGAGUAGAUAUCAGAAAGUUUAUAUCACAAAAUUAAUAAAGUUUAGGAGGUUGAAUAUUUAUAUUGUCAUUUUCAACAUCUAGGCACACCUAUUCAAGAAGCCAAAUCUUCACCUGAGAGUUAAUUUAUAGCUACAUAAAAAAUAACAUAAUGACAGCUCACUAAGACAGCUAGAAGGUGAUGUUUUGGGGGAGAGAUAGUGGGUCUGGGAAUAUUAACUUCUUGUAGUUGUAGUUUAAGAUGUUAAUAACUUCAGCUGGAAACUUUCAGUAGUGGCUGGUGCAGUGUUUGGAGCUCCUUUUUAACUAUAGCCUAGAUUUAUCUCAUUUUAUAAUGCCAC